rnacentral:rRNA from 1 species
AUUGAACGCUGGCGGCAUGCUUUACACAUGCAAGUCGAACGGUAACAGGUUAAGCUGACGAGUGGCGAACGGGUGAGUAAUGCAUCGGAACGUGCCCGAUCGUGGGGGAUAACGUAGCGAAAGUUACGCUAAUACCGCAUAUGAUCUAUGGAUGAAAGCGGGGGAUCGCAAGACCUCGCGCGAUUGGAGCGGCCGAUAUCAGAUUAGGUAGGUGGUGGGGUAAAGGCUCACCAAGCCGACGAUCUGUAGCUGGUCUGAGAGGACGACCAGCCACACUGGGACGGAGACACGGCCCAGACUCCUACGGGAGGCAGCAGUGGGGAAUUUUGGACAAUGGGCGCAAGCCUGAUCCAGCCAUGCCGCGUGCAGGAUGAAGGCCUUCGGGUUGUAAACUGCUUUUGUACGGAAUGAAAAGGUUUGACUUAAUACGUUGGACUCAUGACGGUACCGUAAGAAUAAGCACCGGCUAACUACGCGCCAGCCGCCGCAGUAA